rnacentral:rRNA from 1 species
CCUACGGGUGGCUGCAGUGGGGAAUAUUGCACAAUGGCGGAAACCCUGAUGCAGCGACGCCGCGUGAGUGAAGAAGUAUUUCGGUAUGUUAAGCUCUAUCAGCAGGGAAGAAAAUGACGGUUCCUGAUUUAGAAGCCCCGGCUAACUACGUGCCAGCAGCCGCGGUAAUACGUAGGGGGCAAGCGUUAUCCGGAUUUACUGGGUGUAAAGGGAGCGUAGACGGCAGCGCAAGUCUGAAGGGAAAUGCCGGGGCUUAACCCCGGAACGGCGUUGGAAACUGUGCAGCUAGAGUGCAGGAGAGGUAAGUGGAAUUCCUGGUGUAGCGGUGAAAUGCGUAGAUAUUAGGAGGAACACCAGUGGCGAAGGCGGCUUACUGGACUGUAACUGACGUUGAGGCUCGAAAGCGUGGGGAGCAAACAGGAUUAGAUACCCUUGUAGUC